ensembl:lincRNA
AAGCCAUAGAAGUCCAGCAGUGGGAAUUGAGAAAAACAUCGAACACUGUUGCUCCUGUAUCGUGUAGAAGACACCAGACUUCCCGGCUCUGGGCACCUGUGACACAUGCUGCUACCUGGGCUGUUUAUGAACAAUCUUUGGGACCAGCCUCAGAGUAACUUCAACAGCUGUCUGCAUAGAUCAAGGCAGAUCUCGAUGAUCAACUUCAGGUCCCUAUUUCUCUUGCCUAUUUAGGCAAAUUAACAUCUCUUUAUGAUAUAUUCUUAGAACUUUGUGUUUCUAUGUGCUUUUAGCUUCAUUAAAGGUCCAUAAAUU